rnacentral:rRNA from 1 species
CUACGGGGGGCAGCAGUUAGGAAUUUUCUGCAAUGCGCGAAAGCGUGACAGAGUGAGCCAGAGUGUUUUCCAUUUGGAAAACUUUUGUUAAAUCUAAAAAGUUUAACGAAUAAGGACUGGGUAAGACUAGUGCCAGCCGCCGCGGUGAUACUAGCGGUCCAAGUUGCAGUCAUUUUUAUUGGGUCUAAAAUAUCCGUAGCUUGUCUAGUAAGUUUCCUGUGAAAUCCGGCUUCUCAAGAGUUGGGCGGGCAGGAAAUACUGCUAAACUAGAGACUGGAAGACGUAAGGAGUACGUUCGAAGUAGCGGUAAAAUGUGUUAAUCUCGAACGGACUAACAAUAGCGAAGGCAUCUUACGAGGACAGUUCUGACAGUAAAGGAUGAAGGCUAGGGGCGCAAAACGGAUUAGAUACCCUAGUAGUC